UAGGGAAUCUUCGGCAAUGGGGGGAACCCUGACCGAGCAACGCCGCGUGAGUGAAGAAGGUUUUCGGAUCGUAAAGCUCUGUUGUUAAGGAAGAACGAGUGUGAGAAUGGAAAGUUCAUACUGUGACGGUACUUAACCAGAAAGGGACGGCUAACUACGUGCCAGCAGCCGCGGUAAUACGUAGGUCCCGAGCGUUGUCCGGAUUUAUUGGGCGUAAAGCGAGCGCAGGCGGUUAGAUAAGUCUGAAGUUAAAGGCAGUGGCUCAACCAUUGUAGGCUUUGGAAACUGUAUAACUUGAGUGCAGAAGGGGGGGGUGGAAUUCCAUGUGUAGCGGUGAAAUGCGUAGAUAUAUGGAGGAACACCGGUGGCGAAAGCGGCUCUCUGGUCUGUAACUGACGCUGAGGCUCGAAAGCGUGGGGAGCGAACAGG
rnacentral:rRNA from 1 species